AGGGUUUCAAAGAAAGCAGAGAAAGUGAGAAAGACUUUGAAAAGUCAAUGAUCUAGUCGGAACGGUCAAGGAUCUGACUUGAACAACCAAGAAUGGCCGGCAAAGGACCAGCAAUAGAAGUUGAACCAAGACUAGACUAGAUCACUUUGAGAUCUGUCAAUGAAACUGCAUAAACUGGCAACUAGAAGAUGUAGGAGGUCUGUAUACAUCUUGCACGGCCAUGGGAGUCUACGGAUUAGACUGGGAUUGAAAGGAAUAAGGGUGGAAUUGGAUGGCGGCGGCUAGGGCUUAUGUGAGGCUGCAGAGAGAAUUGAGAGAAGAGGAAUUCAAG
rnacentral:lncRNA from 1 species